AAGGUUUUUCGCUGUUCUAAUAUUGCAUAUAUGCUGUCCCUUGUUUGUAAAUGCAUACAUUCUUUCCUCACAUUUAUUGUCACCUAUUUGUGGGAGAUUCAUAAUUAUGUCUGAUAUUAGUAUAUAGAGCCACCAGGGUAGCACAGUUGCCGUGCUUAUGAUAAUUUGCCACUUUGUUACAUGUUUCGUAAUUAACACAAGCUUGGCUUUUUUAAAUGCUUUCCAAUGUGUCAAAAACAAAAGUCACAGCCGUAUAGAAUGACAUUUUUUCACCAACUUGUGGAUAGUAUAUGAGCAAAAUUCAUCAAGUUAGAAAUGAGAUAUUUUCUUGAUCUUGUUUAUAGUUGACACUCGCGUCUCCUGCUCUGUUUUCUCUUUUACUGUCAGAAUGUCCAUACCCCUCCUGUUUCAAGUUGAUGUUUCAUUCCUAUCUCUUCCUGUGACAAAAUCAAUGUAACAUUUAUGCAGAAAAAUAUAUGGUUUUGUGGACCAUUUGCCUGUAUGUGAUUACAGUGUUAGCAGUUAUCUCUACAAUGUAGCAAGAAAUGCUUCCAGUGCUCUUCAGUUGUGUUUCCCAUUCGAUUGACCUCUUCAACUCCUGUAGACAAAUUCACUUGAUGCUGUUAACUUUUGUGUCGAGAUAUAAACGCUUCAACAUUUGCCAAAACACCAUGUACAAAACAGGUGCCGUACACUUGAAGAACGACACAUCAGCUGUAGAUGAGGGAUCUAUGUCUAAAACAAACUUCCCCUUCUAUUAUGAUGUUAAGUCUUGCUUGUGAACCUGCUUUCUCUUAUCUUCAAUUAUUCAGUUUAGAAAACAUGGGGGAAGAUAUUGAACAAUAAUUUUCACUUGCACUGCUGUAGUUGUUAUUAUCGUCAUCCCCUUCAAAAUGAGUGGUAAUGGUUGUGAUUCUAGGGCUCAGCUAGUUCCUUAAGCUAGACCUUAUAGACCGGCUAUAUUUAAUCGCAUUUGGAACUGUAUUUGAGUGUACACAAAUUGAGCCUCUUGACAUCGCAUGAAUAAAAGUUUUGAUUGAUAGUUGAGUGGAA